rnacentral:rRNA from 1 species
GACGAACGCUGGCGGCGUGCUUAACACAUGCAAGUCGAGCGGAAAGGCCCUUCGGGGUACUCGAGCGGCGAACGGGUGAGUAACACGUGAGUAACCUGCCCCAGACUUUGGGAUAACCCUCGGAAACGGGGGCUAAUACCGGAUACGACACAGCUUCGCAUGGGGUCUGUGUGGAAAGUUUUUCGGUUUGGGAUGGGCUCGCGGCCUAUCAGCUUGUUGGUGGGGUGAUGGCCUACCAAGGCGACGACGGGUAGCCGGCCUGAGAGGGCGACCGGCCACACUGGGACUGAGACACGGCCCAGACUCCUACGGGAGGCAGCAGUGAGGAAUAUUGCACAAUGGGCGGAAGCCUGAUGCAGCGACGCCGCGUGAGGGAUGACGGCCUUCGGGUUGUAAACCUCUUUCAGCAGGGACGAAGCGUAAGUGACGGUACCUGCAGAAGAAGCGCCGGCCAACUACGUG